ACGCUCGACACCUACGGGAGACAGCAGUGGGGAAUAUUGCACAAUGGGGGAAACCCUGAUGCAGCGACGCCGCGUGAGCGAAGAAGUAUUUCGGUAUGUAAAGCUCUAUCAGCAGGGAAGAAACUGACGGUACCUGACUAAGAAGCACCGGCUAAAUACGUGCCAGCAGCCACGGUAAUCUGAGCGGGCUGGCAAGGC
rnacentral:rRNA from 1 species